UUCCAGACUCCUACGGGAGGCAGCAGUGGGGAAUAUUGCACAAUGGGCGAAAGCCUGAUGCAGCAACGCCGCGUGAACGAAGAAGGCUCUUGGGUCGUAAAGUUCUGUUCUGAGGGAAGAAGAAAGUGACGGUACCUCAGGAGAAAGCCCCGGCUAACUACGUGCCAGCAGCCGCGGUAAUACGUAGGGGGCAAGCGUUGUCCGGAAUUAUUAGGCGUAAAGAGUACGUAGGCGGUCUGUUAAGCGCAAGGUGAAAGGCAUAGGCUCAACCAAUGUGAGCCUUGCGAACUGGCAGACUUGAGUGCAGGAGAGGAACGCGGAAUUCCUAGUGUAGCGGUGAAAUGCGUAGAUAUUAGGAGGAACACCGGUGGCGAAGGCGGCUUUCUGGACUGAAACUGACGCUGAGGUACGAAAGCGUGGGGAGCAAACAGGAUUAGAUACCCGAGUAGCG
rnacentral:rRNA from 1 species